rnacentral:rRNA from 1 species
GUAUUCCUACGGGGGGCAGCAGUCGGGAAUAUUGCGCAAUGGAGGAAACUCUGACGCAGUGACGCCGCGUAUAGGAAGAAGGUUUUCGGAUUGUAAACUAUUGUCGUUAGGGAAGAUAAAAGACUGUACCUAAGGAGGAAGCCCCGGCUAACUAUGUGCCAGCAGCCGCGGUAAUACGUAGGUGGCAAGCGUUAUCCGGAUUUACUGGGUGUAAAGGGCGUGUAGGCGGGACUGCAAGUCAGAUGUGAAAACCACGGGCUCAACCUGUGGCCUGCAUUUGAAACUGUAGUUCUUGAGUACUGGAG